GGCCUGAUGGCCGAAUGGAAGGUAUCGGGUUCAAAUCCCGGCUUUGCCAUGGGUGUUUGUAGUGGUUCGGAAUCCACUUUAAGCCG
rnacentral:tRNA from 1 species